rnacentral:rRNA from 1 species
AACGAACGCUGGCGGCAUGCCUAACACAUGCAAGUCGAACGAGACCUUCGGGUCUAGUGGCGCACGGGUGCGUAACGCGUGGGAACCUGCCCUUAGGUUCGGAAUAACUCCCCGAAAGGGGUGCUAAUACCGGAUAAUGUCCUCGGACCAAAGAUUUAUCGCCUUUGGAUGGGCCCGCGUUGGAUUAGCUAGUUGGUAGGGUAAAAGCCUACCAAGGCGACGAUCCAUAGCUGGUCUGAGAGGAUGAUCAGCCACACUGGGACUGAGACACGGCCCAGACUCCUACGGGAGGCAGCAGUGGGGAAUAUUGGACAAUGGGCGAAAGCCUGAUCCAGCAAUGCCGCAUGAGUGAUGAAGGCCUUAGGGUUGUAAAGCUCUUUUACCCGGGAUGAUAAUGACAGUACCGGGAGAAUAAGCUCCGGCUAACUCCGUG